GGAAAGAUGAAAAGAACUUUGAAAAGAGAGUUAAACAGUACGUGAAAUUGUUGAAAGGGAAACGAUUGAAGUCAGUCAUACCAACGGGAAAUCAACCUUUUGAGUUCGUUCUUGUGGGUUUCGAGGAGUUUAAAAGCCUUCUGAUUUGCUAGGAUUGGGCGCUUUUGGUGUACUUUCUCGUACGGUUAGUCAACAUCGGUUUUGAAUGUCAUAAAAUGACUGGAGGAAUGUGGCUUCGAUCUCGCAUCGAAGUGUUAUAACCUUUGGUAGAUGUGAUGUUCGAGACCGAGGAUUGCAACGGAUACCUUUCUGGGCUAUUCGUCUGAUCUCUGAUACGUUGCCUUGAUGUCGAAAGCGUGCUUACGAUGUUAGGGUAUUACGGUCAAAAGGUUAGAACGGAUUAAAUUCGUUAAGGAUGUUGACGUAAUGACUUUAAACGACCCGUCUUGAAACACGGACCA
rnacentral:rRNA from 1 species